rnacentral:lncRNA from 1 species
GAAAACUCCCUUCCAUUGUCAGCUCACAUCUGGAGGGAGGAGGGGAGAUUAGCCUGGAGUCAGAGGGGCCAGGGCACCCCUCAGGAUAGGUGGCAUUGGCGCAGAGAUGCCCAGGGCCAUCCAGGCCUGUGCCACCCACUCUCUCCUUGGCAAAGGAAGCCUGGAGCCCCUGCCUGCUGUCCCUCCAUGCUGGCAGGAGAUGUCUUCAUAUAAUAUUGAUUGGCUUGCACAGAACCUGGGUUGUCAGGAUGAAAGUCUGGAGACUCUGCAUGUAAAUUAACGUGUUCUGUGGUCCUUAACCUUUUCCUUCCACGCACUCCUCGGACACAUCGGUGGAGCCCCCAGAAAUGCCAGGAUGCAGCCCUGGCUCAGGCAGCCCUGGAGAAACAGGGCCUGUGAGAGUCUCACAGUUUUCCUUGCACAGGGCUAUAGGGUACUUCUGGCUCCGGGGCUUGUCUCCACAUAGAGAGCUAUCUGUUCAUCCUUCAGUCUCUCCAGAGACACCCUGGUGCCAAGUGCCACCAGAGCCAGGCCAGGGAGUCUACAGUCAGCCAGCCCUUGGCCCUGGUCCCCCAGGGAUGGAGCUGGCACUGAGCUGAUAGGACCUUCCUCUGGGUCCUGCCAUCCCAUGCGCCUCACUCCUGUGCUGGGACCUAGAAGGCACCUCAGCCUGGCUCGGUGCCUGGGCUUCAUGCCCUGGGGUGGAAGGAUUGAGGGACACAGGUGAGGAGGCACCCAUGGGUCUCUGCCCCACAUCUGUGAAGGGGGAGCCGGGCCCAUGGGAGCAGGGCUAGGAAGGCAGCUGCCCAGCCUGAGGGAGUAUGGAAAGAUGGGAUGAAGCCGCAGCAGGGCUCCCAAGGCCCUGAGAGGGAGCGGCACCCUUCCCUGUGGUGCCUGGAGGGAGGUGGGUGAGGAGCGAGUGAUGGCUGCCUGGCAGAGAAGGAAGGGCAGGGCUUCAGCUUCCCACAGGCCUCGACCUCCAGGAUACCUGUGAGAGUCUACAGCCCAUCUCCUCCCAGCUGUCCCCAGGUGCUGGCUCUGGGUCCCCUGCAGGUCCCAGGCCCGCCCAGGC